rnacentral:rRNA from 1 species
UACGAGGGGGGCGAGCGUUGUUCGGAAUUAUUGGGCGUAAAGGGUGCGUAGGCGGUUUGGUAAGUCUUGUGUGAAAUCUCCAGGCUCAACUUGGAGUCUGCACGAGAAACUGCCGGGCUUGAGUGUGGGAGAGGUGAGUGGAAUUCCUGGUGUAGCGGUGAGAUGCGUAGAUAUCAGGAGGAACACCUGUGGCGAAAGCGGCUCACUGGACCACAACUGACGCUGAUGCACGAAAGCUAGGGGAGCAAACAGG